CCUACGGGUGGCAGCAGUGAGGAAUAUUGGUCAAUGGGCGCGAGCCUGAACCAGCCAAGUAGCGUGAAGGAUGACUGCCCUACGGGUUGUAAACUUCUUUUAUAAAGGAAUAAAGUGAGGCACGUGUGCCUUUUUGUAUGUACUUUAUGAAUAAGGAUCGGCUAACUCCGUGCCAGCAGCCGCGGUAAUACGGAGGAUCCGAGCGUUAUCCGGAUUUAUUGGGUUUAAAGGGAGCGUAGAUGGGUUGUUUAGUCAGUUGUGAAAGUUUGUGGCUCAACCAUGAGAGUGCGGCGCGAACUGGAGACCUUGAGUGCGCGGAAGGCAGGCGGAAUUCGUGGUGUAGCGGUGAAAUGCUUAGAUAUCACGAAGAACCCCGAUUGCGAAGGCAGCCUGCCGCAGCGUUACUGACGCUGAAGCUCGAAAGCGCGGGUAUCGAACAGGAUUAGAUACCCCAGUAGUC
rnacentral:rRNA from 1 species